UGGGGAAUAUUGGACAAUGGGCGAAAGCCUGAUCCAGCAAUGCCGCGUGAGUGAUGAAGGCCUUAGGGUUGUAAAGCUCUUUUACCCGGGAUGAUAAUGACAGUACCGGGAGAAUAAGCUCCGGCUAACUCCGUGCCAGCAGCCGCGGUAAUACGGAGGGAGCUAGCGUUGUUCGGAAUUACUGGGCGUAAAGCGCACGUAGGCGGCUUUGUAAGUUAGAGGUGAAAGCCUGGAGCUUAACUCCAGAACUGCCUUUAAGACUGCAUCGCUUGAAUCCAGGAGAGGUGAGUGGAAUUCCGAGUGUAGAGGUGAAAUUCGUAGAUAUUCGGAAGAACACCAGUGGCGAAGGCGGCUCACUGGACUGGUAUUGACGCUGAGGUGCGAAAGCGUGGGGAGCAAACA
rnacentral:rRNA from 2 species